UUCUGCCUACGGGGCGCAGCAGUGAGGAAUAUUGGUCAAUGGACGCAAGUCUGAACCAGCCAUGCCGCGUGCAGGAAGACGGCUCUAUGAGUUGUAAACUGCUUUUGUACGAGGGUAAACGCAGAUACGUGUAUCUGUCUGAAAGUAUCGUACGAAUAAGGAUCGGCUAACUCCGUGCCAGCAGCCGCGGUAAUACGGAGGAUGCGAGCGUUAUCCGGAUUUAUUGGGUUUAAAGGGUGCGCAGGCGGCGAGUUAAGUCAGCGGUAAAAUUUCGGGGCUCAACCCCGACGAGCCGUUGAAACUGG
rnacentral:rRNA from 1 species